rnacentral:rRNA from 1 species
CAGUCGCCGCGGGAAUACAGAGGGUGCAAGCGUUAAUCGGAAUUACUGGGCGUAAAGCGCGCGUAGGUGGUUUGUUAAGUUGGAUGUGAAAGCCCCGGGCUCAACCUGGGAACUGCAUCCAAAACUGGCAAGCUAGAGUACGGUAGAGGGUGGUGGAAUUUCCUGUGUAGCGGUGAAAUGCGUAGAUAUAGGAAGGAACACCAGUGGCGAAGGCGACCACCUGGACUGAUACUGACACUGAGGUGCGAAAGCGUGGGGAGCAAACAGGAUUAGAGACCCCGGUAGUCCCUGUCUCUUAUAC